CACACCGCCCGUCACACCAUGGGAGUGGGUUCCACCAGAAGCAGGUAGUCUAACCGCAAGGGGGCGCCUGCCACGGUGAGAUUCAUGACUGGGGUG
rnacentral:rRNA from 1 species